rnacentral:lncRNA from 1 species
GCCACCGACGAGUUUCAACAUGGGGAAUCAAGUUCUCUGGGCUUGCAGAGAGGAGAUGGGCGGGUUGGGCUUUGUAUGGCGAUGUGAAAACCAGAUGGGUCUGGGAGAGACAGCGAAAGGAGCGAACCGUUUCAGGAGGAAUACGGGAGGAAGACAAUUAUUUGCAGAGGUGUCAGGGGAUUUGAUGCAGAUGAUCAUCAUGGCUUGGAGAAACAAUGAAGGAAGCAAAGUAUGCCAUCUAUGCUGCGGGAGGUAACUCCAGAAGACCCCAGAGAGAACGAGUUUGGACUUUUAACUGAGGGCCAUUGGAAACUACUGAAGAGUUUUAGGCAGCAUAAGAACUACUAGAUUUUCAUUGUGGGAGGAUCCUCAGCAGCAGCCUCAGAAAGGAGAUUGGGGAAGGAGAUCCCUAGUCAGGGAGACCAAGAAGACUACUGGAAAAAAACAGGGGAAUCCUCAAGGACCUGCAAACAAGAAACCAAAUCCCCCCACUCCCCCCAGCCAAAAUGUGUUCAUUUUGACCAGCUGUGUGUGUGUUUUAAAUUAAAAGUUUGAAUUAGAAA